rnacentral:tRNA from 2 species
UCCUCCGUAGCUCAGUUGGAAGAGCAGCCUGCCACACCUCGGGGUCCCUGGUAGGUCGGUCGCUGGUUCAAGUCCAGCCGGAGGAA